AACCAGCACCUCAAGUGGUCAGGAUGAUUAUUGGGCCUAAAGCAUCCGUAGCCGGCUCUGUAAGUUUUCGGUUAAAUCUGUACGCUCAACGUACAGGCUGCCGGGAAUACUGCAGAGCUAGGGAGUGGGAGAGGUAGACGGUACUCGGUAGGAAGGGGUAAAAUCCUUUGAUCUAUUGAUGACCACCUGUGGCGAAGGCGCUCUGCUGGGCCAUCACUGACGCUCAUGGACGAAAGCCAGGGGAGCGAAAGGG
rnacentral:rRNA from 1 species